CGGCUCCACCUCCACCUCCACCUCCACCUCCGCCUCCUCCACAACUGCUCCUCGUCAUCAGGCCAUGAAUUCUGCACUGGUUUCUCUAGAUACCAAUCAAGCCUUUCCUUGAAAGCAUGGACUCGCUCCAGGUUUUCUCAUGAACAUUUCCAUUUCUGCAAAUUUACCAUCCCAAAACAGUUUCAGAAGCCCCAAAAGUCUAGGUUCAGUUGCUAGGUCUAUGUUUGGUGAAAUUGAUGCUAAAAAUGGUACAAUAUGGCGCUCAAAUGGUAACGUGCAGCUUUCCCUUGAUGAAAUACCCAAUAAUCUGGCGGAAGAAGAACUUCCAUUCAAGGAAGGUAGCUCUGGUUCAGAGUUUCCAUGGCGUGAGCAGAACUAUUUGCAAGACCCACCUUGCAAAGACUCUUAUCUCAAUGGUGCCAUACCAACUUCUCCCGUUAAUAUGCCGCAUCGCCUCAAAACAGUACCUAAAAACCAGUUUGAAAUGAACCUUCCUAAGAAAGAUUGGGCAUCAUAAUGAAGUUAAAAUGCCUACUGCUCCAUGGAUGAGAGGCCCACUUCUAUUGCCUGCUGAUGAUGUGUUGGAUUUAUCCAAAAGUAGAAAAAAGUCAGGUAAUGAAAAGAAUUCAGAUGAUAAAGCUCUUACAGGAGGAGUUUGGAGGAGGGAGGACAAAGCAUGCGAUGAGUUUAAUUAUAGAAAGAAAACAUCACAAAACUGAAGGAGAUUUAUGAAGAAAAUGAGCAAAAUAAAGAAACCCACAUGGUUUUAUCAGAUGAAGUGGCCAUUCCAAGCAAAAUUAAUUCUAGUUUUAGUGAGGGGGCCACAAAUUCAUUAGUGGCAGGUUUAAUUUACCAUUGAAGUAUCUGUUAGUGAAGACCAAGCUAUGGAAACCAUAUUGCCAUGGCCAAUGGCUGAAAACAUUGUUUCUCGAAGAUUGAAGAAGGAAAAGACUCCAAUUCUGUGUUGUUGUAGAGCAUAUUCAAGAGUUCAAGUAGUAAAAUUUUAUUUAGGUUUA